rnacentral:rRNA from 1 species
GCUUGUCUCAAAGAUUAAGCCAUGCAUGUCCAAGUAUAAACCUUUAUACGGUGAAACUGCGAAUGGCUCAUUAUAUCAGUUAUAAUUUACUUGAUGAUCUCUUUACUACUUGGAUAACCGUGGUAAUUCUAGAGCUAAUACAUGCAAAGAACCCGACUUACGGAGGGUUGUAUUUAUUAGAUAAAAACCAAUGCCUCGUGCUUUUGGUGAGUCAUGAUAACUGCGCGGAUCGCAUGGCCUUGCGCCGGCGACGCUUCAUUCAAAUUUCUGCCCUAUCAACUUUCGAUGGUAAGAUAGAGGCUUACCAUGGUGUUAACGGGUAACGGGGAAUUGGGGUUCGAUUCCGGAGAGGGAGCCUGAGAAAUGGCUACCACUUCCAAGGAAGGCAGCAGG